UGACCUGCGGAAGGAUCAUUA
rnacentral:ncRNA from 35 species